rnacentral:lncRNA from 1 species
GAAUGCGGUGGAAGUGAUGAUAUACCAGUUACAGACACACUUUUUAAGAGGAUUGCAGCAUCCAGGUCCCCCUCUAGGGUUUCUCAUUCUUGGAACAAUUCUUGGAACUCAGCCAUCAUACUGUGAGAAACCCAAGCCAUACGUAUAGGACACAUGUUGAUGAUCCAAUUGACAGUCUCAAGCGAACUCUUUGCCAAUAACCAGCAUCAAAUGCUGCCUCGUAAAUGGGAAAUCUUGGCUGUCCCAGCACAACUGAGCCCAUAGAUGAUGCAGCCAAAUCCAAUUUAUAUGAAAAAAGCAACCCCAUUUAGUCCAGUCAACACUAAAAAUAGUGUGAAAUAAUGAAAUAGUUAAGCCAGUAACUUUUGGAGUGGUUUGUUAUGAAAUCAUAGAUAAUUAAAAUAGGAGUCAGCUGUGUAUAGAGGUUAAUGAAGCCACGAGAUGGUUAAGACAAUAAAUAUGUGACACGAAAGAAAAAAGGCUAUCUUAGUCUGUUUUCUGUUACCUGAAUUCCAUAAACUGAGUAAUUUAUAAAGAAAAUAAAUGUAUUCAUUUCUUACAGUUCUAGAGGCUGAUAAGUCCAAGCAUAUGGUGCCAGCAUCUGGUGAGGCCUUCUUUCUGUGUAAUCUCAUGGCAGAAGAGUGGAAGGACAAGUGAGCACAUGCAAAAGGGAAUGUACAAGACUUAUCUUUUAGUUUCCAGAGGCAGAAAAAAGGCAGAAAAGGUUGUUGAGAUUCUUCACAUUGAUUUCAGGGCAAUGAUCUCAAAUGGCGCAGGGGGAACCAGCAAAUUUAAGAGGGUAGUUUCCCUGCACAAGCCCUUUUUUUGCCUGCUGCCAUCCAUGUAAGAUGUGACUUGCUCCUCCUUGUCUUCUACCAUGAUUGUGAGGCCUCCCCAGUCAUGUGGAACUCAAAGCUAGAGGAAACCAAGGUCAUAGAACAUCUGAACUCUGUCCAAACAUCGGUUGUAUUUCAAAAUUUCAGUAGCCACCAUCCCACAGCCAACGAUAAUAUCUGACACUUCCUGACAUCAUGAAAGCCACCAUCUGUCUAUCACCAAAACCCUGUACUUUUUAAAGACUACUUGGCUUGAUCCUUAAUGAAGCUUCGAGUUGAAUGCACAGAUCACUUUAGAAGGAAUACAGGGAAUAAUUGACACAAGAGAUCUCCUGGAAAAAGCCCUAUACCUAAUAUUCUUGUUUGGCGGAAGAAACUAGGAAAAACAUCUGUCAUCUCCUCACUAGACCGAGUCUUGCUCUGUAGCCCAGGCUGGAGUGCAGUGGUGCAAUCUCCACUCACUGCAAGCUCCGCCUCCCGGGUUCACGCCAUUUUCCUGCCUCAGCCUCCCGAGUAGCUGGGACUACAGGAGCCCGCCACCACGCCCGGCUAAUUUUUUGUAUUUUUAGUAGAGACGGUGUUUCACCAUGUUAGCCAGGAUGGUCUUGAUCUCCUGACCUCGUGAUCUGCCCGCCUCGGCCUCCCAAAGUGCUGGGAUUACAGGCGUGAGCCACCGCGCCAGGCCACAGUCUUUCAUUUUUAUAAUAAAUCAUUCAUGUGUAAUUGGUUUUAUUCUGAUCAUGAUGCUGAAACUAAAUGUUUUGGUCUUGGGUGAUAAUGGAAGCUUAAAGGUAAUAUCAACCACAAAGACAGUUUUUAAAUGUUUGGCCUGAAUAUUAUCAGCUUAAAAUUUGCACUAUUCUAUACCUGUUUCCCUUACAAAUCAAUUACUAGUAUAUUACAUUUCAUUGGGUAUGAAUAAUAAAUAUUUUCAUUAAAUUACUUUAAGAGAUCAUCAAUUAAUAUACAUUUCCUAAUAAUUAUUAACAUAAACACUUUUUAAGAUGUAUUUUAAUGCAAACUAAAGACCUUUAGAUACAUUCUGAGUCACAGAAUAAUAUCAAGAAGCAUUAUAAUUUUAUGUCAAUCCCCAGAAAUCGUAUAGCCUUAAAGAUGACUUUUUAAAUUUGUGAUUUUUUUUCUUUUAGUUCUGCAGGAUUAUUUUUUGUUCUUAUUGUUGUUAAUAAGGAAUAACAUCUCUUUUCAUAAUUAUAGCAACAAAGUUUAGUUAAACAAAUUCAUCAGAUUUUAAUAAAUGAUAGCAUUCUAACUCUCAAAACAGUUAUACCUAAAUAUAUUUGGUACAUGUUGUAAAACUAUAUUUAUUGUCUCAAGAGAAAAUGAAAUCUGGUUAUUAAGAUAUAUCAAGACUCUCCACUUUUUAAAUUAAGAAUAAAUUAUUGCCGGUGGAAUUUCCAAAACUAAUACUUCACCCAUCAACCUAAUUAGUAAUUAAAUAUAUCAAUAGCAUUGAAAAGAAGAGUGGCAUAUUAGUUAAGAUGCAUGAACUAUAUAAAGGUACAAUUCUCUUUUUAAAUGCACAUAUCCCAACAAAAUUUCUUUCACAAUAUGGCUAUAAAAUCAUAUGGUGAUUAACAACUGUAAAACUAGACAAAAUUUUUUCAUUGUUUUCAGAAUAUAUUACUCCUUUUGGUAAACUGCUGUGGAAAAAAAAGUGCAGCUGUCACAUACACAAAGUUAUCUCCCAUUGGCUAUGAGAAUUAUCUAAAUGUUACUAGCUUUCAUUUGCUCUUGUCAUUUGCAAAUGUGCCAAAUCGACUAGCCUUUCUAUUAAAAUAAAGACU